rnacentral:rRNA from 1 species
UACGUAGGGGGCAAGCGUUGUCCGGAUUUACUGGGCGUAAAGGGCGCGUAGGCGGCGCGGUAAGUCACUUGUGAAAUCUCUGAGCUUAACUCAGAACGGCCAAGUGAUACUGCAGUGCUAGAGUGCAGAAAGGGCAAUCGGAAUUCUUGGUGUAGCGGUGAAAUGCGUAGAUAUCAAGAGGAACACCGGUGGCGAAGGCGGGUCUCUGGGCCGAAAUUGACGCUGAGGAGCGAAAGCGUGGGGAGCAAACAGG